rnacentral:rRNA from 1 species
AUUGAACGCUGGCGGCAGGCCUAACACAUGCAAGUCGAACGAGUGGCGGAAGGGUGAGUAAUGUCUGGGAAACUGCCUGAUGGAGGGGGAUAACUACUGGAAACGGUAGCUAAUACCGCAUACUAUGGGAGGGUCCCAGAUGGGAUUCGCUAGUAGGUGGGGUAAAGGUUAACCUAAGCGACGAUCCCUAGCUGGUCUGAGAGGAUGACCCGCGACACUGGAACUGAGAAACGGUCCGGACGCCUACGGGAGUCAGCAGUGGGGAAUAUUGCACAAUGGGCGAAAGCCUGAUUCAGCCAUGCGGCGUGUAUGAAGAAGGCUUUCGGGUUUUAAAGUACUUUCAGCGGGGAGGCGUUACCCGCAGAAGAAGCACAGGCUAACUCCGUGCCAGCAGCGGGGGUAAUAC